AAUGAACGCUGGCGGCAUGCCUAACACAUGCAAGUCGAACGAAGGCUUCGGCCUUAGUGGCGCACGGGUGCGUAACGCGUGGGAAUCUGCCCUCAGGUUCGGAAUAACAGCGAGAAAUUGCUGCUAAUACCGGAUGAUAUCGCGAGAUCAAAGAUUUAUCGCCUGAGGAUGAGCCCGCGUAGGAUUAGCUAGUUGGAGUGGUAAAGGCGCACCAAGGCGACGAUCCUUAGCUGGUCUGAGAGGAUGAUCAGCCACACUGGGACUGAGACACGGCCCAGACUCCUACGGGAGGCAGCAGUGGGGAAUAUUGGACAAUGGGCGAAAGCCUGAUCCAGCAAUGCCGCGUGAGUGAUGAAGGCCUUAGGGUUGUAAAGCUCUUUUACCCGGGAUGAUAAUGACAGUACCGUAAGAAUAAGCACCGGCUAACUACGUGCCAGCCGCCGCCGUAA
rnacentral:rRNA from 1 species